UACGAAGGUGGCAAGCGUUACUCGGAAUUACUAGGCGUAAAGGGCAGGUAGGUGGUUUGAUAAGUCUGUUGUGAAAGCUCCCGGCUCAACUGGGAGAGGCCAACAGAAACUAUCAGGCUUGAGUAUGGGAGAGGGUACUGGAAUUCCCGGUGUAGCGGUGAAAUGCGCAGAGAUCGGGAGGAACACCAAUGGCGAAAGCAGGUACCUGGACCAUAACUGACGCUGAGGAGCGAAAGCGUGGGGAGCGAACAGG
rnacentral:rRNA from 1 species